GAAAUACUCCCUCCGUCCCGUGUCGGGGGAAUGGAUAUAUCUAGACGUAUUUUUAGUUCUAGAUACAUCCAUUUCUAUCCAUUUCUGCGACAAGUAAUUCAGGAUGGAGGGAGUACAAG
rnacentral:pre_miRNA from 1 species